rnacentral:rRNA from 1 species
AUUGAACGCUGGCGGCAUGCCUUACACAUGCAAGUCGAACGGUAACGCGGGGCAACCUGGCGACGAGUGGCGAACGGGUGAGUAAUGUAUCGGAACGUGCCCAGUUGUGGGGGAUAACUACUCGAAAGAGCAGCUAAUACCGCAUACGACCUGAGGAUGAAAGCGGGGGAUCGCAAGACCUCACGCAAUUGGAGCGGCCGAUAUCAGAUUAGGUAGUUGGUGGGGUAAAGGCUCACCAAGCCAACGAUCUGUAGCUGGUCUGAGAGGACGACCAGCCACACUGGGACUGAGACACGGCCCAGACUCCUACGGGAGGCAGCAGUGGGGAAUUUUGGACAAUGGACGCAAGUCUGAUCCAGCCAUGCCGCGUGCGGGAAGAAGGCCUUCGGGUUGUAAACCGCUUUUGUCAGGGAAGAAACGCUCUGGGUUAAUACCUCGGGGUAAUGACGGUACCUGAAGAAUAAGCACCGGCUAACUACGUGCCAGCAGCCGCCGUAAUAC